GCAUCUCGCUUACACCGAGAAAUUGUCCGUGAAAACCAGACUGUUUCGA
rnacentral:tRNA from 1 species